GCGGCGUGCUUAACACAUGCAAGUCGAACGGUAAGGCCCUGCUUUUGUGGGGUGCUCGAGUGGCGAACGGGUGAGUAACACGUGAGUAACCUGCCCUUGACUUUGGGAUAACUUCAGGAAACUGGGGCUAAUACCGGAUAGGAGCUCCUGCUGCAUGGUGGGGGUUGGAAAGUUUCGGCGGUUGGGGAUGGACUCGCGGCUUAUCAGCUUGUUGGUGGGGUAGUGGCUUACCAAGGCUUUGACGGGUAGCCGGCCUGAGAGGGUGACCGGCCACAUUGGGACUGAGAUACGGCCCAGACUCCUACGGGAGGCAGCAGUGGGGAAUAUUGCACAAUGGGCGGAAGCCUGAUGCAGCAACGCCGCGUGCGGGAUGACGGCCUUCGGGUUGUAAACCGCUUUCGCCUGUGACGAAGCGUGAGUGACGGUAAUGGGUAAAGAAGCACCGGCUAACUACGUGCCAGCAGCCGCGGUGAUACGUAGGGUGCGAGCGUUGUCCGGAUUUAUUGGGCGUAAAGGGCUCGUAGGUGGUUGAUCGCGUCGGAAGUGUAAUCUUGGGGCUUAACCCUGAGCGUGCUUUCGAUACGGGUUGACUUGAGGAAGGUAGGGGAGAAUGGAAUUCCUGGUGGAGCGGUGGAAUGCGCAGAUAUCAGGUGGAACACCAGUGGCGAAGGCGGUUCCCUGGGCCUUUCCUGACGCUGAGGAGCGAAAGCGUGGGGAGCGAACAGGCUUAGAUACCUUGGUAGUCCACGCUGUAAACGGUGGGUACUAGGUGUGGGGUCCAUUCCACGGGUUCCGUGCCGUAGCUAACGCUUUAAGUACCCCGCCUGGGGAGUACGGCCGCAAGGCUAAAACUCAAAGGAAUUGACGGGGCCCCGCACAAGCGGCGGAGCAUGCGGAUUAAUUCGAUGCAACGCGUAGAACCUUACCUGGGUUUGACAUGGAUCGGGAGUGCUCAGAGAUGGGUGUGCCUCUUUUGGGGUCGGUUCACAGGUGGUGCAUGCCUGUCGUCAGCUCGUGUCGUGAGAUGUUGGGUUAAGUCCCGCAACGAGCGCAACCCUUGUUCACUGUUGCCAGCACGUUAUAGUGGGGACUCAGUGGAGACCGCCGGGGUCAACUCGGAGGAAGGUGGGGAUGACGUCAAGUCCUCAUGCCCCUUAUGUCCAGGGCUUCACGCAUGCUACAAUGGCUGGUACAGAGAGUGGCGAGCCUGUGAGGGUGAGCGAAUCUCGGAAAGCCGGUCUCAGUUCGGAUUGGGGUCUGCAACUCGACCUCAUGAAGUCGGAGUCGCUAGUAAUCGCAGAUCAGCAACGCUGCGGUGAAUACGUUCCCGGGGCUUGUACACACCGCCCGUCAAGUCAUGAAAGUUGGUAACACCCGAAGCCGGUGGCCUAACCGUUGUGGGGGAGCCGUCGAAGGUGGGACUGGUGAUUAGG
rnacentral:rRNA from 1 species